CCAGACUCCUACGGGAGGCAGCAGUGGGGAAUCUUCCGCAAUGGACGAAAGUCUGACGGAGCAACGCCGCGUGAGUGAUGACGGCCUUCGGGUUGUAAAGCUCUGUUAAUCGGGACGAAAGGCCUUCUUGCGAAUAGUGAGAAGGAUUGACGGUACCGGAAUAGAAAGCCACGGUUAACUACGUGCCAGCAGCCGCGGUAAUACGUAGGUGGCAAGCGUUGUCCGGAAUUAUUGGGCGUAAAGCGCGCGCAGGCGGAUCAGUCAGUCUGUCUUAAAAGUUCGGGGCUUAACCCCGUGAUGGGAUGGAAACUGCCAAUCUAGAGUAUCGGAGAGGAAAGUGGAAUUCCUAGUGUAGCGGUGAAAUGCGUAGAUAUUAGGAAGAACACCAGUGGCGAAGGCGACUUUCUGGACGAAAACUGACGCUGAGGCGCGAAAGCCAGGGGAGCGAACGGGAUUAGAUACCCCGGUAGUCCUGGCCGUAAACGAUGGGUACUAGGUGUAGGAGGUAUCGACCCCUUCUGUGCCGGAGUUAACGCAAUAAGUACCCCGCCUGGGGAGUACGACCGCAAGGUUGAACUCAAAGGAAUUGACGGGGGCCCGCACAAG
rnacentral:rRNA from 1 species